AGGGCACCACCAGGAGUGGAGCUUGCGGCUUAAUUUGACUCAACACGGGAAACCUCACCCGGCCAGUACAUCCGAAGGAUUGACAGAUUGAUAGCUCUUUCAUGAUUUGAUGAAUGGUGGUGCAUGGCCGUUCUUAGUUCGUGGCGUGAGCCGUCUGCUUAAUUGCGACAACGAGCGAGACUUCAACUGUUAACUAGCACCCACUUUCCUUCGUGUGAGCGGGAGGCUUCUUAACUGGAUUGGUGCUUUCAAAGCACAAGAAAUGGAGCAAUAACAGGUCUGUGAUGCCCUUAGAUGUUCGGGGCCGCACGCGUGCUACAAUGAUGGUAACAGCGUGAUUGUCCUCGCCCGACAGGGCUUGGCAAACAGUUGAGAUAUUAUUAUGGCUGGAAUUGAGUGUUGAAAUUUUCUCUCAUGAACGAGGAAUUCCAAGUAAAUGCGAGUCAUCAACUCGCGUUGAUUACGUCCCUGCCCUUUGUACACACCGCCCGUCGCUACCCGGGACUGAGUUGUUUCGAG
rnacentral:rRNA from 1 species